AGGCAAUAUGAACAAGACUGCACUAUAGAGAACGCUAUCUGAUGCAAUGCUUCCUGGGCACUUUAUCUCUAAUGAAUCCCCUUCCUUGAAUGCACUAAAUAGAGAACUUGGCAUAUGGCAUAUGAUGCAGAUGGAUCAACUCUAUCUGUUCCAUAGACAUUGAAGUAUGAAUUUGUCAGCUAUCCAGCUAGCAGGCAGAUUUUUUUUCAUGGAUAAUACACAAUUUUACAGAGAUGAAAAGUUGCCCUCUUGAACUACUAGCAGUAAUAAUCCUCCUAUUAAAUAGCGUGGGCCAUGAGCUGAAGUCAUAAUCUGGGAACUAAAAUGUCAGCAUAGAGAUGCACAAAUGGGGCUCGGAUAAGCUUGACCUUGAAAUGACUUCCUAUGAUGAAGCUAGAUAAACAGAAAGUAGGAAACCAUGGAUUCAAAGUUUAAAGCCAGACAGAAAUUCAUUUGCUGUUUGGGCCAUCUUUAUUGAAUUAUUUUGGAGUUCAAAUUGAAUAUUUUACAAUGAUGCUCUCAAAAAUCUUUGACAGUCUGUAUGUGCAGUGAGUUUCAGACAAGAGUUGCUAGGGGGAGUGGUGAGGGGAAGAGUGAUAGAAGAAGAAUUACACUUUUCAUGAAAACAGGAAAUGAAUUUUUCAAUUUUGAAUGACCACAGAAUUAAACAGAUAAAAAUAACUAGAUCCUUAUCAAUUCAUUUAUCUAAGAUCCAGUCCAAAAGUAUGGAUUUUACUUUAGUGGAAAAAAAAACAAUUGAAUUAAUUGAAGAGUAGGAUCAAGAUCAAGAAGGACUAUAUUCUAUGCUAAUCGGGUCACUUGUGGGGCAUUGUGAAGAGACUGAAAAAAACUGAAGUGUGUAUAAAAGAAGCCUAUCAAGCUGAUGAGAAUUCUCAAUUUCAAAGCACAUGGUGAAUGAUUGUUAGUACCAGGAACAUUGAGGUUGAAGAAGAGAAUGCUCAGGGAGUAUAAAUUCUGUUUUCAAAUACUGUGAUGACUUAAAUGUCAAAGGCUCAGACUUUUCUAAAAAGCCUUAGAAAACAAAACUAGGAUUUCUUUUUUUUUUUUUUUGUUAACAUGAGACACACAUUUUUGCAAAUGACCAAUGAUCGAAUUUAUUUUCUUAGAUUAUACCUAAAUAUUACAGGAGUAGAACUAGGAUUUUAAAAGGAAGCAGAUACAAUGGACCAUUAUGAAGAAUAGUGUUCCCUGUUCCUGGUGGUAUUUAGAUAGAGGUUAUAUGGCUACUCUCCAG
rnacentral:lncRNA from 1 species